ACUUGAAUACUGCCAUAUUUAUUAAAUUAACGGAAAAUUUUCUUGUUUUGUAAUUUGAUUUUCAAAUCCAAUUGAAAAUUUAUAACGAUUAGCCGAUUAGCUAAAGUCAUGUGUACCGUACAUGUGUCGUACCGUUUUCCCGUGUAACCAGCUAAAGCGCAUAAAUAAAGCACUUUCUUUGGAAAGUCCACAAACAUUUCGAAUAUUUUCUUCAGAAAAGAUUUUUUUUUCUUCUCUCUCUCUCUCUCUCGAUCUUUUACGAUAGGACAGACAGAUGAAUGAUUUGUUAGAUGGAUUAAUUAUAACUUUUGGUUUAUGUUUUACAUUUCACAGUUUUCAGUGUGCUAAAGCUACGGUACACUUUCUACUGAUUACCACGAGAGAAACUCAAUAUAAAUCUCAGCUCAUCACUUGCAUGAAUGCUUCCAGUCCUAAGAAGAUGGAUUUCAGUAAGAGUUUUACCAAUUUCAGAACGAUCGACACUUGAACGGUUUGGAGGAAAAUUUGGGUUUUGAGAAAGGUAAUGCGAAGACGUAAAAAACACUUGACAAACAAUAAGCGCCUCUCACCUACUUAUUUUUACCUUCAUUUAUUAAUUGCAUACCGAUCUGCUGUGCGUUUUAUUAUGUGGCUAAAUUUGUC